GUCUUCGUAGUUAAACGGAUAUAACAAGCCUCUCCUAAAGGCUAAUUACAGGUUCGAUCCCUGUCGAAGACA
rfam:Blochmannia floridanus complete genome